GCUACUGGUGGUCAUCGGGGACGCAGCUAUGUGUGUCUCCAUUUUGCAGAUGAGGACAUGGAGGCCUCAAGAGGUUAAGUGACUUGCUCAGCCACACACAGCUGAUGGGAAUGAAACAGAUGGAAACGGAGACUCCCCAAGCUGACAGGCGGACUACAGAUCUGGGGGUUCUGCUCCAGGCUCAACACAAGUGGCCUGGGCGAGGGAGGGCCUGGUAGACCAUGACACCCAGCAUCGAGGAAUUCUGCUUCCCCAGCAGGCUCAGAAGGAAGAAGUCUGCUUCAGGGGCCAGGCCUGGUCAAAGACUCCAUCUUCCCUGGAUGGCCAGAGUCAAAUCCUUGCAAAUCCCGUUCACCAUGGAGCAGAGACGAGACCUAUGUUACCCAGGCUGUAUGUGAAUUCCUGGACUCAAGCAAUCCUCCCAUCUCAGCCUCGUGAGUAGUUGGGACAAGUCUCACACCACCAUACCCAGCUUAAUUUAAUUUGAAUUUUAAUAGC
rnacentral:antisense_RNA from 1 species